ACUCGAACGGCGCGGCGCUGCAAGGCGCAGCCGCUGGACGAAGGCGUUUCGGGGAGGAAACGUCCGCUCCUGAGAGAGCGAGAAAGCCCGCUGCGAUGUAUCCCCCGCAGCGGGCUUUUUC
rnacentral:sRNA from 1 species